rnacentral:rRNA from 1 species
UGCAAGUCGAGCGAACAGAUAAGGAGCUUGCUCCUUUGACGUUAGCGGCGGACGGGUGAGUAACACGUGGGUAACCUACCUAUAAGACUGGGAUAACUUCGGGAAACCGGAGCUAAUACCGGAUAAUAUUUCGAACCGCAUGGUUCGAUAGUGAAAGAUGGUUUUGCUAUCACUUAUAGAUGGACCCGCGCCGUAUUAGCUAGUUGGUAAGGUAACGGCUUACCAAGGCGACGAUACGUAGCCGACCUGAGAGGGUGAUCGGCCACACUGGAACUGAGACACGGUCCAGACUCCUACGGGAGGCAGCAGUAGGGAAUCUUCCGCAAUGGGCGAAAGCCUGACGGAGCAACGCCGCGUGAGUGAUGAAGGUCUUCGGAUCGUAAAACUCUGUUAUUAGGGAAGAACAUACGUGUAAGUAACUGUGCACGUCUUGACGGUACCUAAUCAGAAAGCCACGGCUAACUACGUGCCAGCAGCCGCGGUAAUACGUAGGUGGCAAGCGUUAUCCGGAAUUAUUGGGCGUAAAGCGCGCGUAGGCGGUUUUUUAAGUCUGAUGUGAAAGCCCACGGCUCAACCGUGGAGGGUCAUUGGAAACUGGAAAACUUGAGUGCAGAAGAGGAAAGUGGAAUUCCAUGUGUAGCGGUGAAAUGCGCAGAGAUAUGGAGGAACACCAGUGGCGAAGGCGACUUUCUGGUCUGUAACUGACGCUGAUGUGCG